AUUGAACGCUGGCGGCAGGCCUAACACAUGCAAGUCGAGCGAGUGGCGGACGGGUGAGUAAUGUCUGGGAAACUGCCAGAUGGAGGGGGAUAACUACUGGAAACGGUAGCUAAUACCGCAUACCCUCAGAUGUACCUAGAGUGGAUGAGCUAGGAGGUGGGGUAAUGGCUCACCUAGGGGACGAUCCGUAGCUGGUCUGAGAGGAUGACCAGCCACUGUGGAACUGGUACACGGUCCAGACUCCUACGGGAGGCAGCAGUGGGGAAUAUUGCACAAUGGGCGCAAGCCUGCUGCAGCCAUGCCGCGUGUAUGAAGAAGGCCUUCGGGUUGUAAAGCACUUUCAGCGAGGAGGCGUUACUCGCAGAAGAAGCACCGGCUAACUCCGUGCCAGCAGCCGCGGUAAUUC
rnacentral:rRNA from 1 species